rnacentral:rRNA from 1 species
GAUGAACGCUGGCGGCGUGCUUAACACAUGCAAGUCGAACGGAGUGCCUUUGAAAGAGGAUUCGUCCAAUUGAUAAGGUUACUUAGUGGCGGACGGGUGAGUAACGCGUGGGAAACCUGCCCUGUACCGGGGGAUAACACUUAGAAAUAGGUGCUAAUACCGCAUAAGCGCACAGCUUCACAUGAAGCAGUGUGAAAAACUCCGGUGGUACAGGAUGGUCCCGCGUCUGAUUAGCCAGUUGGCAGGGUAACGGCCUACCAAAGCGACGAUCAGUAGCCGGCCUGAGAGGGUGAACGGCCACAUUGGGACUGAGACACGGGCCCAAACUCCUACGGGAGGCAGCAGUGGGGAAUAUUGCACAAUGGGGGAAACCCUGAUGCAGCGACGCCGCGUGAGUAAAGAAGUAUUUCGGGUAUGUAAAGCUCUAUCAGCAGGGAA